UCCAUCGUGACGAAUAUUCUUCUCUCGGGGAUGCGACUCGAGAGUUAUCGGGUAAUUAGCUUGGGUUUCUUAUGAGUUUGAUUCGAUCCUAAGGGGAGGAGAGGAUUUGUAAUUGACGUAUCGGU